rnacentral:rRNA from 1 species
CAAUAGCGUAUAUUAAAGUUGUUGCAGUUAAAAAGCUCGUAGUUGGAUUUGUGGUGUACUUCGGCGGCCCGUCACUAUGUGAUGGAGCUUGCUGAAGUCGCCAUCCUUGGGUGGAUCCUGUGUGGCAUUAAGUUGUCGUGCAGGGGAUGCCCAUCGUUUACUGUGAAAAAAUUAGAGUGUUCAAAGCAGGCUUAUGCCGUUGAAUAUAUUAGCAUGGAAUAAUAAGAUAGGACCUUGGUACUAUUUUGUUGGUUUGCGCACCAAGGUAAUGAUUAAUAGGGACAGUUGGGGGUAUUCGUAUUUCAUUGUCAGAGGUGAAAUUCUUGGAUUUUUGAAAGACGAACUUCUGCGAAAGCAUUUGCCAAGGAUGUUUUCAUUAA